GGCUCCCCGUAUGCUGGGUGAGCACCUGAGCUUUGGGUCCACUAGUCCUGCUGUGGCCUCUUGCUGCAGCACUGUAGAACCCCACUCCUUUCAAUCAUAUGCAGAUAUGCACCGAUGUCCCACAUUGCCUCCAUCUAAACGUACCUUUUCGCCCAUGGAAACACACAACUUCUUGAGGCACAUGUGUGCCACACGCAUCCAUUCCCGGCUGUGCUGCUCAGCCACAACUAAGAGGGCUCUUUGCACUGAAAGUUGGCUGCUUCCCCUGGCUGGCAUCAUGCAAGUUCAAAGGGCCACGGACUUUGGCUGUUUUUCAGACUGCUUUUUCCCGCCUCUGCCUUUAGCCAGUAUUUGCAGAGCGGCGGCUUCCCUGUAGCUACACGUUUUCUGCUUUGGGCAGGGAUGUCCCUUCCUGUGCAAGGGCACUGGGACUAUCCGUGGCCUGCAGCCCCCUGCCUGCCCUGCUGCUUCAGGAUGUCCCAGUCGAUUUUAGGGAGCAGUGAGCAAUGGAGAGAGGCUUUUCUAGUAAAACCAGACGCUCCUGAAAAACUUCCAAAUGAGGAUUCACGCAGAGAAUUCUGAUGUCAGACAUGGGACGUUGAACAAACCACCCGGAAGACUUGGAACUGAAGAAGGAGACCUCCUCACACAGAAAAUAAAAAUGAAUGUUUUAUCCUU